GUUCCUUCUGGAUCUUCAGUCAUAACAUCAUCAUUAGAUGGCACUGCACUCAUCUGGGGAUCGCCUUCUUUUCCAGCAUAGUUAUCAAAAAGCAAUAAGCUUUCAUUCUCAACAUGCUGCACUGACAUGUCACCAUCGAAACUUUCUGGCAGCAAGUGUGUUACUUUGAUUGUUUCAUCCCCAGUGUUCAUAUCUCUGGCACUAAUCAUAGUCUCGAGAGACACCCUUGUUUCAUCUUCCAGACUAUUUUCACCCAUUGUGCAACUUAAGCUAGAUGUGGUAGUUCCAAGCUGGGCAUCCCUGUCCUUGUCCAUUUCAGCACUAGCUCCAUCACUUUGGCAAGCUGGUUCAUAAGGGGCUUCCAAGGGUCCAACUCUUGCAUCAUUUUCCAUCCUG
rnacentral:misc_RNA from 1 species